CCUACGGGUGGCAGCAGUGAGGAAUAUUGGUCAAUGGUCGUGAGCCUGAACCAGCCAAGCCGCGUGAGGGAUGAAGGUACAGUGUAUCGUAAACCUCUUUUGUCAGGGAACAAAGGCGGGGACGUGUCCCCGGAUGAGUGUACCUGAAGAAAAAGCAUCGGCUAACGCCGUGCCAGAAGCCGCGGUAAUACUGAGGAUGCGAGCGUUAUCAGGAUUGAUUGGGGUUAAAGGGUGCGCAGGCGGUAUGUUAAGUCAGCGGUAAAAGCCCGGGGCUCAACCCCGGUCCGCCGUUGAAACUGGCAGUCUCGAGUUGGAGAGAAGUAUGCGGAAUGCGCGGUGUAGCGGUGAAAUGCAUAGAUAUCGCGCAGAACUCCGAUUGCGAAGGCAGCAUGCCGGCUCCACACUGACGCUGAGGCACGAAAGCGUGGGUAUCGAACAGGAUUAGAUACCCCUGUAGUC
rnacentral:rRNA from 1 species